rnacentral:rRNA from 1 species
UACGUAGGGUGCGAGCGUUGUCCGGAAUUACUGGGCGUAAAGGGCGCGUAGGCGGCUUUUCAAGUCGGGCGUGAAAUCUCCGGGCUUAACCUGGAAGGGUCGUUUCGAUACUGUCGAGCUAGAGUGUGGAAGAGGCUACUGGAAUUCCGUGUGUAGCGGUGAAAUGCGUAGAUAUACGGAGGAACACCAGCGGCGAAGGCGGGUAGCUGGGCCGAACACUGACGCUGAUGCGCGAAAGCCAGGGGAGCAAACGGG